GGGCCCGCACAAGCAGCGGAGCGUGUGGUUUAAUUCGAUGCUACACGAAGAACCUUACCAGGGCUUGACAUGCACGUGGUAGCGAAGCGAAAGCGGAGCGACCCUUCGGGGAGCGUGCACAGGUGCUGCAUGGCUGUCGUCAGCUCGUGUCGUGAGAUGUUCGGUUAAGUCCGCUAACGAGCGCAACCCUCGCCGCGUGUUAUACGUGUCACGCGGGACUGCCAGUCUUAAGCUGGAGGAAGGUGGGGAUGACGUCAAGUCAGCAUGGCCUUUAUGUCCUGGGCUACACACACGCUACAAUGGCCAGUACAACAGGUAGCGAAGCCGCGAGGCGGAGCCAAUCCCCAAAGCUGGUCUCAGUUCAGAUUGCAGGCUGCAACUCGCCUGCAUGAAGAUGGAGUUGCUAGUAACCGCAGGUCAGCUAUACUGCGGUGAAUACGUUCCCGGGCCUU
rnacentral:rRNA from 1 species